UUUUUGGCACAAUUGCAAAUGUAAUUGUUAACUUCCCUUUCUAUUAUGCAUGUUCAGUGUAUAGAAAUUCAACAGAAAAAAAAAGAAAGAAAUUCAACAGAUUUCUGUAUAUUUUGUAUCCUGCAAUUUUACUUAAAUAUUUUAUUAGUCCUAAUAGUUUUUUAGUGGUGUUGUUAGGGUUUUCUAUACAUAGUAUUAUAUCAUCUACAAGAAGUGAAAAUUUUAUUUCUUCCUUACCAAUUUGGAUGCUGUAUUAUUUCUUGUCUGAUUGCUUCCAGUACUACAUUGAAUAAAAGUGGUGAGAGUGGCCAUCAUUGUCUGGUUCUUGAAGUUUUCAGUUUCCCACCAAUAAGUAAGAUGUUAGCUUUCAGUUUGCUAUAUACGGCCUUUCUUACAUUGACAUAUGAUCCCUCUCUACACACUUUGUUGAGAGUUUUUAUUGUGAAUGUUGAAUUUUGUCAAGUCUUUUUCUGCUUCUAAUAAGAUAAUCAUAUGGUUUUAUCCUUUUUGUUAAUGUAUUAUAUCACAUUGAUGGUUUUGUGAACAUUAAACUACUCUUGCAUCCCUGUAAUAACUCCCACUUGAUCUUUUUUUUUUUUAACAUAUUGUUGAAUUGUUUGCUAAGAUGUUGAGGAUCUUUCCAUCUAUGUUCAUCAGAGAUAUGGGCCAACUGUGUCCUUUAUUUGUAGUGUCUUUGUCUGGUUUUGGUAUCAGGAUAACAUUGGCCUCGCAGUACAAAUUUGGAAGUUUUCCUUCCUCUUUCACUUUUUGGAAUAGUUGUAAAAGAGUAAGUAUUAACUCUCCUUUAAAAAAUGUUUGGUAGAAUUCACCUGUGAAGCCACUGGACCCAGGAUCUGGGAAAUUAGAUUACUGAUCUAAUUUCAUUGCUGGUAAUUGGUCUGUUCAAGUUUUCUAUUUCUUCCUGAUUCAGUUUUGGAAGAUUGUAUAUUCCUAAGAAUUUAUUCAUUACUUCCAGGUUAUCCAAUUCGUUGGCAAAAAAAUUAUGAUAAUCCUUUGUGUUUCUGGUGCUGGCUAUUUCUCCUCCCUCACAGCUGAUUUUACUUGAGGCCUCUUCUUGAUAAGUCUGGCUAAAGAUUUAUCAAUUUUGCUUAUGUUUUCAAAGAAACAACUCCUGGUUUCAUUGAUCUUUUCUAUUUGCUUUUAUUUCAUUUAUUUUUGUUCUAAUCUUGGUUCCUUCCUUCUACUAACUUUAUAAUCUGUUUGUUCUUUUUUAGUACCCUUAGGCAUAAGAUUAGGUUAGCUUUUUCUCGCUUCUAGAGGUAGAGUUGUAUCACUAUAAACAUCCCCCUUAGAACUUUUACUGUCCUAAAAAUUUUGGACCAUUUGUUUUCAUUUUUGUCUCCAUGCAUUUUUUUUUCUUGAUUCACUCAUCCAUUGCUUAGUAGCAUGUUGUUUGCCUCCAUGUAUGUGUUCUUUCCAGAUAUUUUCUUGUAAUCAACUUGUUUCAUACUUUGUGAUUGGAAAAAAUGCUUGAUAAUUUCCAUCUUCUGAAAUUUAUUGAGCUAUGUUUAGUGGUCUAACAUGUGGUCUAUCCCGGAGAUGUUUCAUGUGCAUUUGAAAAGAAUGUGUAUUGCUUUUGGAUUAAUUUUACUGUAUAUAUGUUAGGUCCAUCGGGUCCAAAGUCAUUCAAAGCCAUUUUUCCUUGCUGCUUUUCUGACUGUAUGAUCUUUAGAUUAAGUGGUGUGUUAAAGCUCCCUAUUAUUGUAUUACUCUGAAACAGAGAUGAGCAGUAUGCUUGAUAAAGAAUUCAUUUAGCUCUUUCAUUUUGACUUUCUUGUUCAUUUGGAACUUCUCUGUCUCAUUUUGUCUAUUUCUCUGUGUAUUAGGAAGACCCACUACAUCUCCUGGUCUUGAAAGUUGUUACCUUGUGUAGAAGUCCUCUGGUUCCCCAUAGCACAAAUCCUCCCUGGUUAACAGAACCAGGAUUCCAGGGAGGUCUCCUAGGUGGGCUGCAUGUGCCCUAGUGUGGGUGAGCUGCAUUUGAAUUCAGCCUGCUGCAAUGACCUGUUUUGCC
rnacentral:lncRNA from 1 species